AUUGAACGCUGGCGGCAUGCUUUACACAUGCAAGUCGAACGGUAACAGGUUAAGCUGACGAGUGGCGAACGGGUGAGUAAUGCAUCGGAACGUGCCCGAUCGUGGGGGAUAACGCAGCGAAAGCUGCGCUAAUACCGCAUACGAUCUGAGGAUGAAAGCGGGGGACCGUAAGGCCUCGCGCGAUCGGAGCGGCCGAUGUCAGAUUAGGUAGUUGGGGGGGUAAAGGCUCACCAAGCCGACGAUCUGUAGCUGGUCUGAGAGGACGACCAGCCACACUGGGACUGAGACACGGCCCAGACUCCUACGGGAGGCAGCAGUGGGGAAUUUUGGACAAUGGGCGAAAGCCUGAUCCAGCAGUGCCGCGUGCAGGAAGAAGGCCUUCGGGUUGUAAACUGCUUUUGUACGGAGCGAAAAGGCUCUCUCUAAUACAGGGGGCUCAUGACGGUACCGUAAGAAUAAGCACCGGCUAACUACGUGCCAGCCGCCGCAGUAA
rnacentral:rRNA from 1 species